UCAUCAGAAGCAGAGGAAGAAUGCUAGAGGAACUCUGGACCUGGACAUAGCAGAAGGCCCUAGAACUUGCAUGCUUCCUCCAGUCUCUGUUGUCUUAUUGAUAGUUUCAACUUCUGACCAGCUUGAGCCUCUUAACACAUUCGAGAACAAGGUUCUCUUAAAAGUUGGAGAAUAAUCAGUUCCUCGAUGGAGCCAAAGUCCUGGCUGUGGUAGCAUUCCACUGACAAAAUCAGCCAACCCAGACUGGAAAUAAUGGAGAAGAGAACCACCUCAAAGGGUUAUUGUGAAGAUCAGAAGACAGAAUGUAGACACCAGUCUAUCAAUGAACAUCUAUUAUGCUUUUCCUGCAUGUCAGGCACUAUGCUAGGCACUGGAGAUUCAUUGAAAGAACGAAACAAUCCCAACCCGCAUGAAGUUUGCAUUCUAAUGGAAAGAUAGACCUUCUGGAGUGUGAUGGAGCCAACUCUUAUCAGCUUUCAAGAGCCAUCGUUAAAUUUUCAGCGUGAGCAUUUACACCUCAAAAAUCAGCAAAGACUUGGGGAUCAGGACUUGGUUUAUUAUUUUG